rnacentral:tRNA from 1 species
GGGCUUGUGGUUUAGUGGUAUAAUACCCCCUUAGCAUUAGGUAGCAUGGGGGUGGUCCGGGGUUCGAUUCCCCGCGAGUCCA